UCCCCUGUGGCUCAGUUGGUAGAGCAUGAUGUUUGCAACGCCAGGGUUGUGGGUUCGAUUCCCACGGGGGAC
rfam:Salmo salar isolate Sally breed double haploid chromosome ssa01, whole genome shotgun sequence.